rnacentral:rRNA from 1 species
GACGAACGCUGGCGGCAUGCUUAACACAUGCAAGUGGAGCGACGAACCGGGGCUUGCCCUGGGGCAGAGCCGCGAACGGGUGAGUAACACGUGGGUAACGUGCCCCGAUGACUGGGACAACCCGGGGAAACCCGGGCUAAUACCGGAUAUGCCCCCUGACAUCUGUCAGGUGUGUAAAGGAAGCUUCGGCCUCCGCAUCGGGAUCGGCCCGCGGCGCAUUAGCUUGUUGGUGGGGUAACGGCCUACCAAGGCAACGAUGCGUAGCUGGUCUGAGAGGACGAUCAGCCACACUGGGACUGAGGCACGGCCCAGACUCCUACGGGAGGCAGCAGUGGGGAAUCUUGCACAAUGCGCGAAAGCGUGAUGCAGCAACGCCGCGUGCGGGAAGACGGCCUUCGGGUUGUAAACCGCUUUCAGUUGGGACGAAGGUCGGCGCGUUAAUAGCGGGUCCGACUGACGGUACCUUCACAAGAAGCUCCGGCUAACUACGUGCCAGCAGCCGCCGCAGUAA